rnacentral:misc_RNA from 1 species
AACGGUCUAUACCUGCGGUACCUGCGGAGGGAUCAUUAUUGAAUAAAUAUGGUGGGUUGUAGCUGGCUUCUUGAAGCAUUGUGCACACCUGCUGUCUUUAUCUAUCCCUCUGUGCACCUUUUGUAGUCCUUGGAAGAGCAUGGCAUUAGAUCCUGAUGUGUGAAGUGAAGUGAAUUCCUUCCCCCAGGUAGUUGUCUCUUCUGGGUCUAUGUUUUUGCAUAUACCCAUAUUGUAUGUUGU